rnacentral:rRNA from 1 species
GCCCAAGAGAUCGGGAUAACACCUGGAAACAGAUGCUAAUACCGGAUAACAACAGAUGAUGCCUAUCAACUGUUUAAAAGAUGGUUCUGCUAUCACUNUUUGGAUGGACCUGCGGUGCAUUAGCUAGUUGGUAGGGUAACGGCCUACCAAGGCGAUGAUGCAUAGCCGAGUUGAGAGACUGAUCGGCCACAUUGGGACUGAGACACGGCCCAAACUCCUACGGGAGGCAGCAGCCA